UACGGAGGGUGCAAGCGUUAUCCGGAUUCACUGGGUUUAAAGGGUGCGUAGGCGGCCCUGUAAGUCAGUGCUGAAAUACCCCGGCUUAACCGGGGGGGUGGCAUUGAUACUGCAGGGCUUGAGUACAGAUGAGGUAGGCGGAAUUGACGGUGUAGCGGUGAAAUGCAUAGAUAUCGUCAAGAACACCGAUAGCGAAGGCAGCUUACUGGGCUGUAACUGACGCUGAUGCACGAAAGUGUGGGGAUCAAACAGG
rnacentral:rRNA from 1 species